UUUUAUGAGAGUUUGAUCCUGGCUCAGGACGAACGCUGGCGGCGUGCCUAAUACAUGCAAGUCGAACGCUUCUUUUUCCACCGGAGCUUGCUCCACCGGAAAAAGAGGAGUGGCGAACGGGUGAGUAACACGUGGGUAACCUGCCCAUCAGAAGGGGAUAACACUUGGAAACAGGUGCUAAUACCGUAUAACAAUCGAAACCGCAUGGUUUUGAUUUGAAAGGCGCUUUCGGGUGUCGCUGAUGGAUGGACCCGCGGUGCAUUAGCUAGUUGGUGAGGUAACGGCUCACCAAGGCCACGAUGCAUAGCCGACCUGAGAGGGUGAUCGGCCACAUUGGGACUGAGACACGGCCCAAACUCCUACGGGAGGCAGCAGUAGGGAAUCUUCGGCAAUGGACGAAAGUCUGACCGAGCAACGCCGCGUGAGUGAAGAAGGUUUUCGGAUCGUAAAACUCUGUUGUUAGAGAAGAACAAGGAUGAGAGUAACUGUUCAUCCCUUGACGGUAUCUAACCAGAAAGCCACGGCUAACUACGUGCCAGCAGCCGCGGUAAUACGUAGGUGGCAAGCGUUGUCCGGAUUUAUUGGGCGUAAAGCGAGCGCAGGCGGUUUCUUAAGUCUGAUGUGAAAGCCCCCGGCUCAACCGGGGAGGGUCAUUGGAAACUGGGAGACUUGAGUGCAGAAGAGGAGAGUGGAAUUCCAUGUGUAGCGGUGAAAUGCGUAGAUAUAUGGAGGAACACCAGUGGCGAAGGCGGCUCUCUGGUCUGUAACUGACGCUGAGGCUCGAAAGCGUGGGGAGCAAACAGGAUUAGAUACCCUGGUAGUCCACGCCGUAAACGAUGAGUGCUAAGUGUUGGAGGGUUUCCGCCCUUCAGUGCUGCAGCUAACGCAUUAAGCACUCCGCCUGGGGAGUACGACCGCAAGGUUGAAACUCAAAGGAAUUGACGGGGGCCCGCACAAGCGGUGGAGCAUGUGGUUUAAUUCGAAGCAACGCGAAGAACCUUACCAGGUCUUGACAUCCUUUGACCACUCUAGAGAUAGAGCUUCCCCUUCGGGGGCAAAGUGACAGGUGGUGCAUGGUUGUCGUCAGCUCGUGUCGUGAGAUGUUGGGUUAAGUCCCGCAACGAGCGCAACCCUUAUUGUUAGUUGCCAUCAUUCAGUUGGGCACUCUAGCAAGACUGCCGGUGACAAACCGGAGGAAGGUGGGGAUGACGUCAAAUCAUCAUGCCCCUUAUGACCUGGGCUACACACGUGCUACAAUGGGAAGUACAACGAGUCGCGAAGUCGCGAGGCUAAGCUAAUCUCUUAAAGCUUCUCUCAGUUCGGAUUGCAGGCUGCAACUCGCCUGCAUGAAGCCGGAAUCGCUAGUAAUCGCGGAUCAGCACGCCGCGGUGAAUACGUUCCCGGGCCUUGUACACACCGCCCGUCACACCACGAGAGUUUGUAACACCCGAAGUCGGUGAGGUAACCUUUUGGAGCCAGCCGCCUAA
rnacentral:rRNA from 1 species